rnacentral:rRNA from 1 species
GAUGAACGCUGGCGGCGUGCUUAACACAUGCAAGUCGAGCGAGAAGUUUUGAAAAGAUUCUUCGGAUGAAAUUUAAAAUGGAAAGCGGCGGACGGGUGAGUAACGCGUAGGCAACCUGCCCCAUACAAAGGGAUAGCAUUUGGAGACGAAUAUUAAUACCUUAUGAAACUUAACUAGUGCAUGCUAGGUAGGUCAAAGAUUUAUCGGUAUGGGAUGGGCCUGCGUCUGAUUAGCUAGUUGGUGAGGUAACGGCUCACCAAGGCGACGAUCAGUAGCCGACCUGAGAGGGUGAACGGCCACAUUGGAACUGAGACACGGUCCAAACUCCUACGGGAGGCAGCAGUGGGGAAUAUUGCACAAUGGGGGAAACCCUGAUGCAGCAACGCCGCGUGAACGAUGAAGGCCUUUGGGUCGUAAAGUUCUGUUCUAGGUGAUGAAAACUGACAGUAACCUAGGAGAAAGCCCCGGCUAACUCCGUG